rnacentral:rRNA from 2 species
UGCAAGUCGAACGAGAUCUUCGGAUUUAGUGGCAGACGGGUGAGUAACGCGUGGGAACCUGCCCUUUAGUAGAGAAUAACUCGGGGAAACUCGAGCUAAUACUUUAUACGCCCUUUGGGGGAAAGCUUUAUGCGCUAUUGGAUGGGCCCGCGUUAGAUUAGUUUGUUGGUGAGGUAACGGCUCACCAAGACUACGAUCUAUAGCUGGUCUGAGAGGAUGAUCAGCCACACUGGGACUGAGACACGGCCCAGACUCCUACGGGAGGCAGCAGUGGGGAAUAUUGGACAAUGGGGGCAACCCUGAUCCAGCGAUGCCGCGUGAGUGAUGAAGGCCUUAGGGUUGUAAAGCUCUUUUGUCAGGGAAGAUAAUGACGGUACCUGAAGAAUAAG